CGGUUAAGCUCGCGAUGAGGCACCCCAUGGCGAGGAUCAGGAUCGCCCACUCGACCAGAGCCCCGAGUCUCCACCGCCGACGCCGAUUCGCCUUCGCGUUGAUAUGCUGCUCCUUCUUGUAGAUCUCCUCGUCCUCCUCUUCCUCGUCGUCCGCGUCGAGUAACGGCGUUUUGGGGGUGCCCAGGGACGCCCUAGGGUUUGGGGAGGUCGAGCUCGGGGUCGGGGCCGCCGCCGCCGCGGAGGAGUGGGGAGGGUGCUCGACGAAGCGGGAUUUGGGCUUGGAGAUGGAUCUGCAGCGGAUUAGGGUUUCGGGAUUGGGGGUUCGUGGGAGCUUCCUAGGGCUCGGCGCCUUGGCGAUCUCCGGGGAGGGGUUUCCGACGCGCGGGGGCGAUGAUUUCGGCGCCGAAUCCUCGAAACCUUCGACAUUCGCAGAAGAAGUCGGCGCCGACUUUGCUGCUGCUGCUGCUGCUGCUGCGCCGGUUUGGAUUACGACGACGACUUCGCCUUGCUUUCGAUCAAUGCUCCUCUCUUUGUGAGCAUCGUCGUCCAUGGCCAACGAAGAGACAAAAAUACNAAUUAUCUUAAUAGUUUUCAACUAAAUGACAAAAGAGAGAAAGAAAUCAAAGGAAAAUACGGUGCUGCAGCGGCAACAACAAGGAACUAUCUAAUAGAAUUUGAAGUUUACAGAAUUUACCACCCAGUUCUUCAAUGCUGACUUCUUGAUCUUUCUUGUCUCAGCAGCUCCUUCAAACAUCGGAAGCACGGAUUCCACUUCCUCCUUGCUCAAAAAUCUCAUAAGAUCCUCUUCAUCUAUGUACCUAAGUACCCAAGAAGAAGAGGAAACACAUCAGGAGAGAUCAAAAAAAAAUAAGGCAAAGAGAUAUAAAGAAGAAGGCAAUUGGAUUUUGAGAUCCAUCACUUGUGAUCAGGCUUGGCGACAUUUUUAAAAAUCCGGUAAGCCGCAGCCUUCGCUUCCCACUCACUAUUAAUCUCCCUAUCCUUCUGUUCCCAGCCUUCCUCGCCAAAGUUUUCGAUUGUGUUCGAGAUUGUAGUGAGCUCUGUAAAGUAUAAAUUAUCAUAAGACCAUAAUAUCAAAGCAGGAUGUCCUAUGUUCAAGCACUUAAUUCAGAAUUCACAUUUUGGGCCAGCAGGAAGUCUCGAACGCAGGCAUAAGGGGAGCAGUUAAUAUAAAUUAUCAAGAAUAACAUUCUCAAACAGCUUGAGCAUUUACAGAAGUUAGUUCUUUCACGACCUGAAGUCCUGAUCACAUUGAUUAGGCCCUUCAUUGUCCAAGCCGAGACCUUCUCCUGAUCCAUCUUAUGAAGCUUCCCGACAUCAAUCACUGCUUGUUCUUCCCCUCCUUUAGCCUUCCCCUUCCUGGUGCUCCGAAAGCUUAACUGCCCUGUGCUCUUCUCUCUCCCUACCUUCUCCGCCAUCUCCAUCAACGGCAGCCCGGAGAGCGCCUGCAGCACGUACUGAUGGAAAAUUGACUCUUGGAUCCGAUCGAAAAACUUGGUCAUGUGGAAAGAAGAAGCUAAUAUCUUCAUGCCAAGGGUUUUCGCGAGCCAUAUUACCUAUCGGAUAUAAAACAUUAAUCAUCAUUCUCUACAACUUAAACUUUUAGCCGAAACAUAAAACUCACAACAUAUAAGAGCAAGAAGCCCUAAGCUCAAGUCUCCUAUUAGAAGUCUUAACCACAGACAUGAGGAGGAAUAUUAAAUAGUGUAAAUUAAGCUUUUGCUCUUCAAAACUAUUGGGCGCGUGACACUUUGGUCCUUAAACUUUAAUUUUUUGUAAUUUUUGCCUCAAACUUUCUAAAUUAUUGCAAUCACCUCCUACAAUUCAAUUUAGUUGGCUAAAUGUUGACAAAUUGUUGAUGUAGUAGUGAUGUAAAAAUAUUAUGAUCGAUGAUGCGAGAAUAGUUAAGAUGCUAUAUCACUUAUGCACAAAUAAUUUGUCAAUAUUUAACUAACUAAAUUGGACUACAGAAAUUGAAUGCAAUAAUUUAGAAAGUUCGUAUCAAAAAUUACAACAAAUUAAAGAUUUAAGGACUAAAGUGUCCCGUGCCCCAUAGUUUGAGGACCAAAAGUGUAAUUUAUCCUAUUAAAUAUUAAAGGUAAAAAUGUGUAGACCUUACCGAAACUAUAGUGCAUCUUGAUUAAAACAUUUUGAUUUUACUAUCUGAACUUAUAAUAUUUUAAAAAAUCGUAUAACUUUUAAUUAUACUACCAAAUAUUCGCUGUACUAAUGACACAUUGAUGGAAUAUUCUGUAGCCAAACAGAAAAUUCUGCAAAAUUUUUUACAAAUUGUCUAAGUUUGGAUAGUAAAAUUAAAAUUUUUAAAUUCAUGUUAUGCAGUAAAUACUUUUAACUUUUAACUUUUGAAGUUAUGAGCAUAUAUUUCAAAAUAAGUUAUAGUUCAUAGUUCAGGUAAGAUCUAUAUAUUCUCUAACAACUUAAGCUUUUAGACAAAGCAAUCAAAUAAUAACCUGUUAAAUGUUGAAUAUAUGUGGGUAUUGAACUCCACGACCUCACAUACCCAAGGGGUUUAGAAUUGGCUCGGAUACCAUGUUAUCUAAAAGAUCGAUCUAGUAGGAAACAUGUACGGAAAUAUAUAUUAACAAUUUCACAGUUACCGAUCCGAUCAGGAGCGAUGCGAGAAAGCGGGAGACGUAAUUGAGGAUCUUCGUCGUCUUCUUCGACCUCUCGAGCCCUCCAUUGAAGAGAAGGAACCAGGAAAGGAGCACAAGCCCUAGCCAAAUGCAAGCUCGCACACUAUCCUUCAACCCGUAGACGAAGUAGAGCACCUUCUUCUUCAAAAGGAAGUUCCUUUCGAUCAUGAAGACGAGCAAAUUGAUGAGCCACUGCGUCACCAACCCCCCGCAGCCGAUCACCGUCACCAUCAAGCACCAUUUCCAAAUCUCCAAGCCCCAGAUCACGGAUCCCUGGAGCUUGCGCACGGUUAAGCUCGCGAUGAGGCACCCCAUGGCGAGGAUCAGGAUCGCCCACUCGACCAGAGCCCCGAGUCUCCACCGCCGACGCCGAUUCGCCUUCGCGUUGAUAUGCUGCUCCUUCUUGUAGAUCUCCUCGUCCUCCUCUUCCUCGUCGUCCGCGUCGAGGAACGGCGUUUUGGGGGUGCCCAGGGACGCCCUAGGGUUUGGGGAGGUCGAGCUCGGGGUCGGGGCCGCCGCCGCCGCGGAGGAGUGGGGAGGGUGCUCGACGAAGCGGGAUUUGGGCUUGGAGAUGGAUCUGCAGCGGAUUAGGGUUUCGGGAUUGGGGGUUCGUGGGAGCUUCCUAGGGCUCGGCGCCUUGGCGAUCUCCGGGGAGGGGUUUC
rnacentral:lncRNA from 1 species